rnacentral:lncRNA from 1 species
CUUGUCCUCGGUAGUAACAUGCCAGUCUCCUCUGCUUGAAGAGCCCGUAGAUGUCACAGUUGAUUCUCUUCUUUGGAAUCUGUUUCGUAUAUGGGGAAUGCCAUGAAUACAAACAGAUUGUUCAGACAUACAAGUGUUUUCUUUCAAAGAGACGUCAUUUUACAAUGCGGAAAAUAUACGGUCAUUAUGUCGAAAUUUACAAAUUUGUGAAUCCAGUGUCCAUCAUGGUUCACAGAGUUAUCGUUUAGCAUACAUGUAUAUCAUGGAUUAAACGAAAGACAUUAUGCUUGGUGACACAUGUGGUGCAGGAACCACUUACCGUUCCAAAGAACCAGGUUUCGACCGAAACGAUUUGAGAGGGUUCACAAUCAAGUUUUUUUUUUAAAGUUCCAGUGUCUUCCUUUUAGGGUUACCUUCAGCAAAUUUUCAAGACGUCAACUCUUGUUAGCCUCGACUAUCAUACACGACAUUCGUUUGUCUCUAUUAUUUCUCUCCUCACAUUUCAGAAAGAUAACAAAAAUGUUAUGUAUAAUUUUCAUUUUUUUUAUUUCAUGUCUGGUGAGGCCCAGACAAAGACCAAUACAUAUUAAAAUAUCUGUGUACUUUCGUACAACCAUGUAAACGGUAACAUCAAUGGUACUCACAUUGGGAGGUGUUCAUGUGUGCGGAGUAAUCUGGACACGACAUCAUAAAUCAUAAACAGGGGCAUUAUUAAAAUAAUCGGCAGCACUUUUGAUAACAUUUUUCUGUGAAAACGAUGAGAAAAGUAGUAAAACCAACAAUUUUCAAAUUUCCUCUCACACUUCUAACAUCAGCACCAGACGGCCCAUUCACUCACUCACUCACUUUCUCUCUCUCAAUUCCAGUCAAUGGGAAAUUAAUCAGAUCAAUCACAUGAUCAGCCGUCUUGGUCACAUGACCUAACAUGACGUCAAUUUCAGAGAAGUCUCAUGAACUAUAUUCAGAACAUGUGCAUAAAUAUUUUGAUGCGUAAUUGAAUUGGUUUUUUUUACCUUUCUUAUCUUGAGUUCUAGUAACUUUAUUUGAUACAGACACUUUUCAAUAUUAAACUUAAUCUUGCUGUUUUGUAUCCAAUGCAUCUCUACGAACUAACAUCAGUCUAGGGACUUCAUCUUCUCUUCCAAGAAUAGGACCAUAAACAUAUAUGACUAUACACUAGAAAAUGUAAUGCUUCGUAUUAAAACACAGAGUUUAUGGUCAAUACUUAGUAUGUGAAAAUGCAUUUUCAUCGUUGAUAUGAUUUUUAUGGUUAAAUUCUUAAUUAAAUAAAUAUUAAAAUUAAGUAUACAGGUAGGCGAGAGCUAUAUCUACAUGUUAGUGUUAAAUAAAAACACCUGUUCAAAAAUAGUAAUGUUUCUCUCCUCCUUGCCCAACAACUCUUAUAUAUCUCUAUAUACAUAUAGUCUGACCAAUUGGUUCAACAUCUAUUCAUUUGUGACAAAACAUGACAUUACAACUAACACAUCACAUGGUAGGGGCCUCCACCACGCCAUCAACAGUGGGAUACUGCUGUAGGUGAAGGAGCUUGGUGUAUGCAGGACAAACACAUUAUCACCACUAAAUACAACAAAAACAUUUGAUUAAAAGCUCAGACCCUCACGCUUCAUAAGAAUUUUCUAUUUCAAUUUUUUUAAAAUGAGGUGUUUAGAACCAGACAUCUUUUAUGCAAUGGAAAGUAUUGCCGAAAGAAAAUUUCAUAAAAUCAUCCCAUUGAAAUGUCAGGUAUUUUAUAGGUAAUCAGUUAGGCUUAAAAAUAUUACCUCCCUGGAGUUGCAAAAACAUUCACAGUUAGUGUAUAAAUACCUGAAGGUAGCUGCCAGACAUGUUUUUACAUACAGAAUGAUUAAAAGAUAAAUAAAAAAAUCUUGAUUGUUUUUAUUCUUGUAGGAAUCAACAUAUUUUGUACAUGAUUUAUAUAUCUUACGUAAACUUGAAGGUCUAGGAUCUCAUUCAUAUUUUGUAUCCAGAAAUGAAAAUUGAAAGAUACCAUACACAUUGGUAAGUUUGCAAUAAAGACUCGAAAACUAAAUUGGAACUGAAUUGGAAUUGAUUAACUUGCAGGCAUUGGUUUUUGGCUGUCACCGUAGCAGCGUAAGAUAGUGAGACAGUGCUGAAUACUCUAUAGAAGGAUGAUAAAUAAAACGAUACCAAAUAUAUGCAUAAAGAUGAAGCUAAAUGCUUGUAUACAAAUAUAAAAUAUCUGAUAACGCUAAAAGAUAUGGCACAUUCCACAAUGUUAACAACUAAUCGACCAAAAACCAAGAUUCAUACCAGACCUUGAAAAGUACCGCCAAAAUAUUAAGAUUUCUCUUUCACGAUUUUCAGAUUUAUAACCUCUUUGUUUUUGCCUGAAAUGCAAUAUCUGUUAUCCUAUCAUAAAAUACUAACCAAAACACAUCCAACAUUACGCUGAAACAUCUUUAGACCCCAAAAACAAUCAAGUAAAAGUUACUUGAAAGACAUCACAUACAAAAUGUAGAAACCAUGUUUGAUAUCUGAGUAAAAUAUUCAAAUGUCAAAAGUAGAUGAAUGAGAAAAUGUGUUUAGUGACAACAGCAUGACCAAGACUAUUCCACGUCUUCCCAACACAUGACCAAGACUAUUCCACGUCUUCCCAACACAUGACCAAGACUAUUUCACGUCUUCCCAACACAAACAACUUUCUACACAAAACAAAAUAGAGUAAAAACAUAGAGGGGAAAAUAUAUUAUUUCAAUUUAAAACUUUAUAUUCAAUGACUCAAUAGGUUUUAUUAAGCACUCACAAAUAGCACACAUCAUGUAUGCUUAAAAUUGAUCAAUUCAUCUUUAAAAAAAA